rnacentral:rRNA from 1 species
CCUGGCUCAGGAUGAACGCUAGCGACAGGCUUAACACAUGCAAGUCGAGGGGCAGCACAGGUAGCAAUACCGGGUGGCGACCGGCGCACGGGUGAGUAACGCGUAUGCAACUUGCCUAUCAGAGGGGGAUAACCCGGCGAAAGUCGGACUAAUACCGCAUGAAGCAGGGGCCCCGCAUGGGGAUAUUUGCUAAAGAUUCAUCGCUGAUAGAUAGGCAUGCGUUCCAUUAGGCAGUUGGCGGGGUAACGGCCCACCAAACCGACGAUGGAUAGGGGUUCUGAGAGGAAGGUCCCCCACAUUGGUACUGAGACACGGACCAAACUCCUACGGGAGGCAGCAGUGAGGAAUAUUGGUCAAUGGGCGUAAGCCUGGACCAGCCAAGUCGCGUGAGGGAUGAAGGUUCUAUGGAUCGUAAACCUCUUUUAUAAGGGAAUAAAGUGCGGGACGUGCCCCGUUUUGUAUGUACCUUAUGAAUAAGGAUCGGCUAACUCCGUGCCAGCAGCCGCGGUAAUACGGAGGAUCCGAGCGUUAUCCGGAUUUAUUGGGUUUAAAGGGUGCGUAGGCGGCCUUUUAAGUCAGCGGUGAAAGUCUGUGGCUCAACCAUAGAAUUGCCGUUGAAACUGGGGGGCUUGAGUAUGUUUGAGGCAGGCGGAAUGCGUGGUGUAGCGGUGAAAUGCUUAGAUAUCACGCAGAACCCCGAUUGCGAAGGCAGCCUGCCAAGCCAUGACUGACGCUGAUGCACGAAAGCGUGGGGAUCAAACAGGAUUAGAUACCCUGGUAGUCCACGCAGUAAACGAUGAUCACUAGCUGUUUGCGAUACACUGUAAGCGGCACAGCGAAAGCGUUAAGUGAUCCACCUGGGGAGUACGCCGGCAACGGUGAAACUCAAAGGAAUUGACGGGGGCCCGCACAAGCGGAGGAACAUGUGGUUUAAUUCGAUGAUACGCGAGGAACCUUACCCGGGUUUGAACGCAUUCGGACCGAGGUGGAAACACCUUUUCUAGCAAUAGCCGUUUGCGAGGUGCUGCAUGGUUGUCGUCAGCUCGUGCCGUGAGGUGUCGGCUUAAGUGCCAUAACGAGCGCAACCCUUGCCACUAGUUACUAACAGGUUAGGCUGAGGACUCUGGUGGGACUGCCAGCGUAAGCUGCGAGGAAGGCGGGGAUGACGUCAAAUCAGCACGGCCCUUACAUCCGGGGCGACACACGUGUUACAAUGGCGUGGACAAAGGGAAGCCACCUGGCGACAGGGAGCGAAUCCCCAAACCACGUCUCAGUUCGGAUCGGAGUCUGCAACCCGACUCCGUGAAGCUGGAUUCGCUAGUAAUCGCGCAUCAGCCAUGGCGCGGUGAAUACGUUCCCGGGCCUUGUACACACCGCCC